rnacentral:rRNA from 1 species
GUGGGGAAUUUUGGACAAUGGGGGCAACCCUGAUCCAGCAAUGCCGCGUGCAGGAAGAAGGCCUUCGGGUUGUAAACUGCUUUUGUACGGAACGAAAAGGCUCUGGUUAAUACCUGGGGCACAUGACGGUACCGUAAGAAUAAGCACCGGCUAACUACGUGCCAGCAGCCGCGGUAAUACGUAGGGUGCAAGCGUUAAUCGGAAUUACUGGGCGUAAAGCGUGCGCAGGCGGUGCUGUAAGACAGGCGUGAAAUCCCCGGGAUUAACCUGGGAAUGGCGCUUGUGACUGCAGUGCUGGAGUGUGGCAGAGGGGGAUGGAAUUCCGCGUGUAGCAGUGAAAUGCGUAGAUAUGCGGAGGAACACCGAUGGCGAAGGCAAUCCCCUGGGCCUGCACUGACGCUCAUGCACGAAAGCGUGGGGAGCAAACAGGAUUAGAAACCCGGGUAGUCC